CUACGGGUGGCUGCAGUGAGGAAUAUUGCACAAUGGGGGAAACCCUGAUGCAGCAACGCCGCGUGGAGGAUGACGCAUUUCGGUGUGUAAACUCCUUUUAUCAGAGAAGAAAAUGACGGUAUCUGAUGAAUAAGCUCCGGCUAACUCCGUGCCAGCAGCCGCGGUAAUACGGAGGGAGCAAGCGUUAUUCGGAAUCACUGGGCGUAAAGGACGCGUAGGCGGGUUAUUAAGUCAGGUGUGAAAUCCAAUGGCUCAACCAUUGAACUGAACUUGAAACUGGUAACCUAGAGUAUGGAAGGGGCAGAUGGAAUUAGUGGUGUAGGGGUAAAAUCCGUAGAUAUCACUAGGAAUACCGAAAGCGAAGGCGAUCUGCUGGGACAUUACUGACGCUGAGGCGUGAAAGCGUGGGGAGCAAACAGGAUUAGAUACCCCAGUAGUC
rnacentral:rRNA from 1 species